GUAUACAAAUAUAUAUUUAAAUAUAGAGUAAUAUUAGUAGAUAACCAAAUAAAACAUACAAAUUAAGAAACUAGCAGAGAAAAAGUUUUUUGUUACAAAAUAACCAUGGACCCACGUUGUCGGAAGAAAGGAAAUAACAAAGCUACCCUUCAUUUGUUGUAAGAUGAACAGUAAACGAAACACAUCCGUGUAAUUUUUCAAAAUAGCAUGUAACAUUAAAAUUUCACAUGUUAUAUUUAGUUUAAAAACAUGCUAUUUAAAAAAACGUUAUGAAUUUUUAAGAAAAAACAUUAUUAUGAAAUUCUUUUACAUAAACAGAAUCUAAAAAAAAA
rnacentral:sRNA from 1 species